AUCAUGUUCCUCGUACACUGCACCAGCACCACUGCUUCCCUUCCCAGUGAGAACCCGAUCAAGCUUUAUCAUGCAGCCCAGAAGGGUGGGGGAAAGAAAAAGAAUUAGGAGAAAAUGUUGUAAAAGUAAUGAGAUAAUAUGAGAAUGUGCUUUGGGAACUGCGAAUCUGGAGUCACUGGUCCAUGAGGAAUCUAGGAUAAGAAGAAGGAAGCUGUGAAGAAUGGUUGGCUAACAGUGCUGGCAAGGAAUUCAGAUCAACAUACCUCUCAAAAGAAUGGAAGUCUCUUAAACUCAGCUUCAGCCAGACCUAGAAGUUUAUCUGCUGAAGCUGUAUACACCCCAUCAGUAGCCCAUCCUGCAGUUGGCUAACUCUGAUUCCAAAUUCCUUUCCGGUGGCGUCCAUCUGCUGUGCAAAAUGUUGUGAAAAGGCUUCCUAUUG
rnacentral:lncRNA from 1 species